GUUUCUGUAGUUGAACGCAACGGUGGCUUUUCAGGCCGCAAGUCUCGGUUAAAGUCCGGGCAGAAUCA
rnacentral:tRNA from 1 species